AUGGGAGGAACAAAAGAAAGAGGAUUCUCCGUUUUGGCAGAAACCUACAGUCACUUGAGCUGUAACUGGGAUAUCCCGGGGAAGAGGUCAGGUCCUGGCGGAUGUAUCAGCGCCCACGCAGGAAAACACCAAAAUGUGUUUGCUAAAUCAGGGGAGGAAGCCCCUCCCUCCGAGGACAGGUAAGACCUGGAAGGGGCGUGUCCAAGGAUCACCUGCCGCCACCCAGUUUACAGUUCCACAACCUGAUCACCUCAUAAAGCUGCCCAAACCAAGCACUUAGAAAGCUCCUUUGGCUCUUGGACGGAGCAUUGGUGGAAAGGAGUGUAGCUGAAACUAACCAAAGGAGGCUUUAUGCUUCCAGAAAAAUCUUAAGGAAAAGUGUUGAAAGCAACAGUCGGGCUGUGAGAUCAAGCUCUAAAGGAAAGGAGAGAGUAAUCCCUAGGACUCAGGAGGCUGAGGCAGGAGGAUCGAAAGUUCCAGACCAGCCUCUUUUUCCUGAGGGAGACCCCGCCUCAGAAUAACAACAUUUUAUUUUUUUUCUUUUAACAGUUGGAGAUAUGAUAGAGCACUUGCCAGGCAUGCGCACCCUGCUUCAAAACCAGCAUGAGGGCGUUGGGGGCAGGGGUUGAAGAGGUUCAACUAUGAAGGUGUAAAGCCUUCGCCCACAAAACAGAGGUGCCAAAGGCAGUGCUAAAAGACAAGGAUGACUUCGCAUUUAGAGAUGGUGACACUCUUGGGACAUACAUAGACUAAAAUAAAUGACUGCUGAAGCUGCCA
rnacentral:lncRNA from 1 species